UCCCUUGUAGCUCAGUCGGUAAAGAAUCUGCCUGCAAUGCAGGAGACCCAGGUUCAAUUCUUUGGUGGGGAA
rnacentral:tRNA from 1 species